rnacentral:rRNA from 1 species
UGGGUGGUAUAUUUCAUCUAAAGCUAAAUAUUGGCCAGAGACCGAUAGCGCACAAGUAGAGUGAUCGAAAGAUGAAAAGCACUUUGGAAAGAGAGUUAAACAGUACGUGAAAUUGUUGAAAGGGAAGCGCUUGCAAUCAGACUUGCGCGCGGGGUUCAGCGGGGCUUCUGCCCCGUGCACUUCCCCGCGCGCAGGCCAGCAUCGGUUUGGGUGGUUAGAUAAAGGCCUGGAGAAUGUGGCCCUCUUCGGGGGGUGUUAUAGCUCCAGGUGCCAUGUAGCCUACCUGGACCGAGGACCGCGCUUCGGCUAGGAUGCUGG